rnacentral:rRNA from 1 species
GAGGCAAGACCGCGAGGUGGAGCAAAUCUCAAAAAGCCGUCCCAGUUCGGAUCGCAGGCUGCAACCCGCCUGCGUGAAGUUGGAAUCGCUAGUAAUCGCGGAUCAGCAUGCCGCGGUGAAUACGUUCCCGGGCCUUGUACACACCGCCCGUCACACCAUGAGAGUCGGGGACACCCGAAGUCCGUAGCCUAACUGCAAGGGGGGCGCGGCCGAAGGUGGNUUCGAUAAUUGGGGUGAAGUCGUAACAAGGUAAC